UACAGAGGGUGCAAGCGUUGUUCGGAAUUAUCGGGCGUAAAGCGCGUGUAGGCGGCUUUGCAAGUCGGGUGUGAAAGCCCUCAGCUCAACUGAGGAAGUGCGCCCGAAACUGCAGAGCUUGAGUGCCGGAGAGGGUGGCGGAAUUCCCCAAGUAGAGGUGAAAUUCGUAGAUAUGGGGAGGAACACCGGUGGCGAAGGCGGCCACCUGGACGGUAACUGACGCUGAGACGCGAAAGCGUGGGGAGCAAACAGG
rnacentral:rRNA from 1 species